CUGUGUAUUGUGAGACUUAGACGAGCUAAACAAGCCAAAAAGCGUGCAUAGAUGCGCUCAUGGUUGGCUCGUCGGGAAAGAGAAAGUGUGUACCACAGGCUGUUAAAAGAGCUGAGUUUAGAGGAUCAUGAGACUCUGAAGAAUUGGAUCAGGUUGGACAAGAGCCAGUACCACAGACUUCUGGAGUUAGUGACACCUCUUAUUGCCAGAAGUGACACCAGGAUGAGGAAGGCUGUCACUGCAGGAGAGCGUUUGAGACAGGUUGAAGCCACGCGGAAAGUCUCGGUCUUGGUCUUGGAAAUGUAAACAAAGGCGAAAAUUUGCAGGCGGAAACGAUCCUGAUCGUCUGACAAAUUCAUGCGAUAAGUUCAUGCGGAACGAUGAAAAAUCGACGGAAAUCGCAUUAAUCGACGGCGCCUUAAGCCGCCUUGACAAAACCCACAACAUCCCUUCUCAAGACUCCUGUGACAUCAAGAUCAAGGAGGAGGACGGCAAGGGAGUGGAUGGUGCUGCUGCUGGGGCUCAGUGGAGAGACGAGUGGACGAGAGCUGCCGAUGCAAAGGCCUGGCUGGGGAGAAAACCCGAGCCUCCUGUGACAUCAAGAUCAAGAUCAACGCUGCGGAGUCUGCCACGUCUCCACGCCCACCCAGUGCCCCCACGCCUCCACGCCCACCCAGUGCCCCCACGCCCACCCACCACCCCUGGUGCUGGUGCAGCAGCGAGGGUCUGAGGCAGGUGCCGUGCUGCGUCCUCACUGUCGCUGACUUCUGUUGCAGUGGAGGCUGCAGGGCCGGGCAGCAGCCUGAGGGGCCAGGACCAGCAGGAGCAGCCUGCCACUGCUGUUAUGGGCCCAUGUGUAUCCAGCGUGCUCAGGAAUGAUGACUGCAGGUUAGACGAGGCUGAUGACUUGGUAAAUAACACAAACAUAAGUAAGUGCCUGUAGUGCCUGGAUGAACUGUUUGUGAAGUGCCUCUGAUUUCUACCAUGGCUGAGCUCAGAAGUGUUUUGGUACCCUUGGAUGGUAGUAAUUAUGCUACUUGUAAGGUUAAGUGUAGGAUGGCCCUCAUUAAAGAAGAUGUUUGGGGCAUAGUUGAGGGUACAGAGCCUGUUCUGGAACAGACUGAUACUACCAAAUACAACAACUAUAAUGUGAGGAAAAAUAGGGCAUUGGCUAUUAUAGUGUUAGCUGUGGACCCGAAGUUACUUUAUUUGCUAGGAGAGCCAGAGGAUCCACAGGAGGUAUGGAAGAAACUAAAACUACACUCUCUAGAAAGGAGAAGGUUGCGAGGAGACCUGAUCGAAGUCUAUAAAUGGAUGAAGGGCUUCAAUAAAGGGGAUGUCAAUAGGGUUUUGGUUGUAAAAUAACCAGAUGGGACGUGUAGCAAUGAUUUCAAAUUAGAUAAAUUCAGAUUCAACGAAGACAUGGGCAAGAAUUGGCUUACCAAUAAAGUGGUGCAUGAAUGGAACAGGCUUGGCAGCCAUUUUGUGGGUGCCAAUACCAUAGAUACAUUCAAGAAAAGGUUGGAUAAACUCAUGGAUAGUGAGGUAAGGUGGGGUUGAGAGUACAAGAAUAGAGUGGUUCGCCACUGGAACAGCCUCCCUGCAGAAGUGGUUAGCGCAGAGAGCAUCAACUCAUUCAAGAAACGCAUUGAUCGCCACUUUGCUGCAUCGGGAGUGAACUGAACGUAUCCAAGAGUAGGUGCACAAGUGCUUUAAUCCUCCCCUGCAAGCCACUCCUAUGGCAAACGGAUUGAUUAAAUCACUGAAAGGGAAAGCAGGCAGCCUAGUAAUGAGCCAACAGGCUUUCUGCUGCCUGCUAGUCCAUGUUUGCAUGUUUCCAUGUUUCCUCUUUCAACCACCUCCACGCCCUCUUCUUCCUCAACGUCCUCUUCUUUCUCCACGUUCUCGUUCUCGUCCUACUCCUCCUCCUCGUCCUCCUCCUCCUCCUCCUCCUCCUCCUCUUCCUCCUCUUCCAACUCCUCCUCCUCGUCCUUCUUUUUUCAGGGCAGUAGGGAGGCAGCGAGGGAAAUAAAUGUAUUCAUGACCCACUUGAAAGAAACAAAUGAAGCGAAUUCAGCGUUUCCACCAAAUUGUUCCUACACCGGCCAAACUCCCCUCUACUCUACUCUCUCUCUCUCUCUCUCUGGAGUGCUGCAAAUCAUGUAUUUUUUUCUUUCGUAAUGGAGAGUAAUUUUUAAGGUCUUGCCUGGAGAGAGAGAGAGAGAGAGAGAGAGAGAGAGAGAGAGAGAGAGAGAGAGAGAGAAUUAAGGAGAAUAUUGAUUGAAAGGUAGAAAGGAAAAACAGGAAAGGAGUGUGGGGAGACCAGGAGAGAAAGAGAGGGAAGGAACGAGGAAAGGAAGCAGAGGCAUUCUAGUCUUCAUCCACAGACCGACUUGGCUGACGUCAGCCGAUAGAGUCGGUAUGUCCGUAUCCUCCUCUUCAUCGGGCGUCGCCCAAGGAGGUCUCUCCGCGGAGGGACAACUGAGCUUGACUUUGACGGGCUCUAUGAAGCCCGUGUCCACACCACAGAGCCAGUAUGGGUUCCGCAAGGGGCGUUCUACUGGCGAUCUUGCUCUCUUAACUGAUUCUUGGUCAUCCUUUUUUAGCCGUUUCGGUGAAACCUUUCUCAGUUGCGCUAGACAUAUCGAAAGCCUUCGAUAGAGUCUGGCACAAGUCUUUGUUUUCAAAACUGCCCUGUUUCGGAUUCUAUCAUUCUCUUUGUUCCUUUGUCUCCAGUUUCCUUUCCAGACGUUCUAUCUCUACUGUGGUUGACGGUCACUGUUCUUCCCCUAAACCUAUCAAGUGGUGUUCCACAGGGCUCUGUUCUAUCACCCACUCUCUUCCUGUUAUUCAUCAAUGAUCUUCUUUCCAUAACAAACUGUCCUAUCCACUCAUACGCUGAUGACUCCACUCUGCAUUAUUCAACUUCUUUCAACAGAAGACCCUCUCAAUAUGAAUUACAUGACUCCAGGCUGGAGGCUGCAGAACGCUUAACCUCAGACCUUACUAUCAUUUCCGAUUGGGGUAAAAGGAACCUUGUGUCCUUCAAUGCCUCAAAAACCCAAUUUCUCCAUCUAUCAACUCGACACAAUCUUCCAAACACCUAUCCCCUAUUCUUCGACAACACUCAGCUGUCACCAUCUUCAACACUAAACAUCCUCGGUCUAUCCUUAACUCAAAAUCUUAACUGGAAACUUCACAUCUCUCUCACUAAAUCAGCUUCCUCGAGGUUGGACGUUCUGUAUCGUCUCCGCCAGUUCUUCCCCCCACAGUUGCUAUCCAUACAUAGGGCCUUGUCCGCCCUCGUAUGGAGUAUGCCUCUCUCUCUCUCUCUCUCUCUCUCUCUCUCUCU